GGCGCACACGCGACUACGCGAGGCGCAAGCAACUUCCUCUGCCCCCACUAACAGCGCUCAGUUUCCUAAUCGCUUCGCUUCUGCCCUAUUUUUCUUAGAACGAUCGCAAUCACAAACACUUCCCCUGCCACAUCGCCGCUCUGCCGCCGCGCUGCCGCUGCACGCACGCGUGCCCGCCGCCGCCCUGCACGCUGCCACGCGAGCCAGCCCAUCGCUGCCGCCGCUUCCCCGCCCGCAAGCUCGCUUGCCGCCGCCGUCCUGUACGCCGCCAUGCGAGCCUGCCCGCCGCCGCGAGUCUGCCUCUGGUUUACUCGCAAGCGACCCCCGUUGACUUCGCCACGCCGUGAUUGCGCUGGCUUCCUUACUUGCGUCCUUGCUCACCAUUCUUGCCCUGUCCCAUCCCAUCUGCUCUCUUGACUUGAUCCGCUCGCGCCGGUGAGGAAGCUUUACGAUGGAGGCGUGCGGAUGAUGCGCCGGUCAACUUCCUUAUCAAGAGGAGGGUGGACUCUGGAAAAUGUCCGUCUCACAUGAUCUGGUUCAGUUGAGUUGACUAGCUCGAUAUGAGCUGAGAUGUGUUGGCUUCAGCUACUGCAAUUGCAGCAACCGUUUUGCUGUUUUGGGCAGAAAUCUCCCUUGUCCCCGGAUUGAUCCAGGAUGUAUCAUUCAGGUUUUGUGUGUGUCCUAAACUCCUAAUACUAAACGGUGCUACUGCCCAAGAAGCCCAUGGAGGUCUCCAUCAGGCCACUCUUUCUCUUUAGUUCACUUACGAUUGUUGGCUGAGAGGGCGCAGCAACCACACAUGCGCAGAACCUCACAAAGUUAAUCCUUGGUGUGAAAAAUAGAUGGUCCCAAGCCCCAAUUGAAUCGUCUCCUUUUGGAUUUAUUCGUCUAGAGGUCAGUACUUUUCUAUCCCCGCCGUUCUACAUCACCUCCUUAAUUUUGGAUUUAGUCAUGUACUUUGUGUGUCGUUCUUGUAUAUGCAUUAACAUUUUGUGCGGACAUAAAUAAUUUGUGAUUCAAAUCAUGAUUCAGAGCUCGCUAAGUUUACUUUGAUCUCUGUAUAUAGUUGUAAAAUGAAGAAAAACCACUUCUGUAAUUGUACCCUGCAUAUUGUAAUAUGAUGAGAUUGUUUGGUAUAUUUAUUAUUUGUCCGGAGAGAACUGGAACAAUCACGACACUCCAGAUAGAUCCUUCAAGAAAUAUUUGAUGUACUCGACACACUUCAGAUGAUUACUAAACUAAUUGCUGUAUAAUUUGCUACACGUAGGUUAUUACAUUAUUUUAUAUCACAUGCUAUGAACCUGUAUGUGAUUUACAUUGAAUCUUGUGAUUUUAUUCAACUGAUCUUACUACGAAUCAGUUUUUACACUUAUCCAUAAUUAGUUUUGUGUGUAGGUGGCAACUAUAUAUAGAAGAUGGUCGCCGGCCAAAACUUCAGCUUGUAUGAAUGUGAUUACAAGACUUGCAACAUGAGCUUCUCAAAGCAUGAACCAUGAAUCAAAUAGGGACGUUCCGUUUCAAGUUCAGCAAUUGCAGAUGAAUGAGGGAAGAAAAAGAUCAGUCGCGCAUCAAGAUGCCUUAGUUUUAGCCGCAAGAUUAGAAUUUAUGUUUUGUAAAACUUCUCUAUGUUAUUGCAGGAUUGGAGUGCUUUAGUAUUGUGUUUUAGUUGAAUUUUGUAUGAUAUUAUAUUGUACCUUCUUGUUACUGCAUAUUCGUUGAAAACAUUUUUUUUUAAUACUGAAAUUCAUAUCAGUGACAGGCA